rnacentral:other from 1 species
GUUCACUGCCACACAGGCAGCUUAUAAA